rnacentral:lncRNA from 1 species
GAGAGACCUCCAACUUUGAGAAGUUGCAACAUUUGCCCAAAAACACACAGCUAUGGCAGGUGACUGAGCUGAGCGGUUCCACCCCCGCAGUGCAUGCUUCUCUCUCUUCACCCCUGAGCUGCGAUUCCUUGGGAGGAAACCAUACUUUCUGCAGAAAGAGAGGCUGGGGUCAACAGAGUCUUCACAUAGCAUGAGUGGCACUGGCAGGCUGGAGUCCAGAGUAAUAUGAAGUUUGAAUACAGAUAUUGAUGGCAGAAAUUGGCAACAAACCCUAGAAUCAAAUGAACAGUAUGGGAGGUCUCUGUUACCCUGAUUUCUGAGGGCAAGGGCUAUCAUCUGCUUUGUGGUCUUAAACGUUUUAGGUGAUUAUUUUAGAGGAUCUAGAUCAGUGUAAUAACAGUGACACGGAGUUUUACCCUGUAAUUACUAAAGUCACUAAAUUUCAAAACAUUUUAGAAAAGAUCUAAAAUGAAUUGACACUGCACACAAACUUACUUAUGGGUCUGUCAAAAGUUUUCAAUAAACUACCUUUUCUGAA